rnacentral:tRNA from 1 species
GGGGCUGUGGCUCAGUGGUAGAGCGCUUGCCUGGCACGCAUGAGGCCCUGGGUUCAAUCCUCAGCACCA